GAGGGCUUAGCUUAAUUAAAGUAAUUGAUUUGCGUUCAGUAGAUGUAGGGCGUGGUCCUGCAGUCCUUA
rnacentral:tRNA from 1 species